GUAUUGUAUGAAAGGAAAGAAGGUUAACAUUCCCCUUGACAAGAGGAACAGAAAAUCAAAUACUGUGUGUCCUCACUUAU
ensembl:snRNA